GACGAACGCUGGCGGCGUGCUUAACACAUGCAAGUCGAACGGUAAGGCCCUUCGGGGUACACGAGUGGCGAACGGGUGAGUAACACGUGGGUGAUCUGCCCUGCACUUCGGGAUAAGCCUGGGAAACUGGGUCUAAUACCGGAUAGGACCACUGCCUGCAAGGGCGGUGGUGGAAAGCUUUUGCGGUGUGGGAUGGGCCCGCGGCCUAUCAGCUUGUUGGUGGGGUGAUGGCCUACCAAGGCGACGACGGGUAGCCGGCCUGAGAGGGUGACCGGCCACACUGGGACUGAGAUACGGCCCAGACUCCUACGGGAGGCAGCAGUGGGAAUAUUGCACAAUGGGCGCAAGCCCGAUGCAGCGACGCCGCGUGAGGGAUGACGGCCUUCGGGUUGUAAACCUCUUUCAGCACAGACGAAGCGCAAGUGACGGUAGGUGCAGAAGAAGGACCGGCCAACUACGUGCCAGCCGCCGCGGUAA
rnacentral:rRNA from 1 species